UGGGGAAUUUUGGACAAUGGGCGAAAGCCUGAUCCAGCAAUGCCGCGUGUGUGAAGAAGGCCUUCGGGUUGUAAAGCACUUUUGUCCGGAAAGAAAUCCUUGGCUCUAAUACAGUCGGGGGAUGACGGUACCGGAAGAAUAAGCACCGGCUAACUACGUGCCAGCAGCCGCGGUAAUACGUAGGGUGCAAGCGUUAAUCGGAAUUACUGGGCGUAAAGCGUGCGCAGGCGGUUUGCUAAGACCGAUGUGAAAUCCCCGGGCUCAACCUGGGGAACUGCAUUGGUGACUGGCAGGCUAGAGUAUGGCAGAGGGGGGUAGAAUUCCACGUGUAGCAGUGAAAUGCGUAGAGAUGUGGAGGAAUACCGAUGGCGAAGGCAGCCCCCUGGGCCAAUACUGACGCUCAUGCACGAAAGCGUGGGGAGCAAACAGGAUUAGAUACCCUGGUAGUCCACGCCCUAAACGAUGUCAACUAGUUGUUGGGGAUUCAUUUCCUUAGUAACGUAGCUAACGCGUGAAGUUGACCGCCUGGGGAGUACGGUCGCAAGAUUAAAACUCAAAUGAAUUGACGGGGUCAUAGCUGUUUCCU
rnacentral:rRNA from 1 species